rnacentral:lncRNA from 1 species
AUGGGAACUCUGUAUCAACUGAUAUUUGAAAUUUGAUUGCACUUGUCAAGAAUUGCACAUAGUUUGACAACUCCAACAUAAGCAAUUUCAUGUUUGAUAUAAUUUUGCCUCAUUGUUCAAGUAAUGGUGCUGCCUUUUAUUAGACACAUAACUCUUCUCUAGAAAUAUUUAGAUUUUAAGGCAUACAAUUAGAAUCCAAUUUUCAUUACAAGUCUAAUGAGCUUAACUACAAUACUUCCAUCAUUUCAGCACUUGGAAAUUUGAAAUUAUUGUAUGCUUUGAUGACAUUCUCCCCAUUCCCCUUACUCAGAAAAAAUAAUAACUCAGAAAAAAUUAGCUAUGCUUGUUUUAAAGUAUAAUUAGCAAACUGUUCUUCCUUAUGAUUCAAUAAAUGGAUGAUGAGUUUAAUAAUAUUGACCUGAAGAUAUAUCACAGUGUGUUAAGAAUUGCCAGUGGGCUAUUAUUAAAUAUCUGUUUCAACUUUUACUUACAUUUAAGUUUGUGGGGGCUGAAAAGAUGGCUCAGUGUUUUAGAGCACUGACUGCUCUUCCAGAAGUCCUGAGAUCAAUUCUCAGAAAUCACACAGUGGUUCACAAUAAUCUGUAAUGGGAUCUGAUGACCUCUUUUGGUAUGCCUGAAGACAGCUAUAGUAUAUGCAUAUACAUAAAAUAAAUUUAAAAAAAUUAAAAAUCAUAAAUUAAAAAUUUUAGAUUAUUAACACAACAUGUGCAUUGAGGAAAUAUUAGGGAAGCUUUUCUUUAUCUAUAUCUAGAUAAAGAAAACUGGGAAGUAAGUUAGUUAUUUCAUCUUGCAAAUAGGACAGCAUUCAAAGCCAUUAGAAUUGCAAACAUAUUAGUUUUUAUAGGUGACUUUCUUUUUCCUAGUUCUUAUAUGUUAAUACCAUUAUGACCUCAUGGAAUUCUAUGACAAAGAAAUAAAGACCACAUCUAAAUGAAAAGUACUCACUACACUGAAGAGAUCUGUGAAGUGGCACCAGAGCAUUUUUAUGACUCACGAACUCUUGGGGGUUCCCCAUUUAUACAAAGGAACGUGAAGGAAAACAUGAACAAAGACAUCAUUUUCCUAACAUAUCCCAGAGUCUGGAAUGUUGUAGCUGUUCAUAAUUAAUCACUGGUGACAUGGGCAUCUGGGUAAAGAAACAUUGAACUCACAACAAGCUGAAUGCUGGUGAAGGCCCAAGGAAAAUAGUAGUAGCAAGGUGGACCACAUCACUACUUUUUGGAGAAGUCUUAAAGAGAAUGUCUGGAUAAAAAAAUAAAAUAUCAUUAGAAGUGUAAG